rnacentral:lncRNA from 1 species
AUGGACGGUAGGACUGAUAUCACAUUAAAUCAGGAUCACUAGGGAGUUAAGAUCAUUUUAUUAUUUUUUUAUUAUUAUUGUUCUUUCAUAAACUUUUUACCUUUGAUUUUGAUAGUUGAUAUAGAAUUCAUUUUUUCUCAUUUUUGCAGGAUGAUUAAUAACUUAAGAUCGUUUUAUUUUUAUUAUUGAUCUUGUAUAAUUUUUAAAUUUAAUUUUGCUAUUUGAUGUAGAAUUCAUUUUUUGAUUUGUUAUUUUUGCUAUACUCAUUACUAUUUUUAUUGUUGUUUUUGAUUUAGUUUAUAAUUUCUUUUUUUAACGUUAUACACUCUUGUUUUAAUUUUUAAACAAAAAGGGGGAUAUGUAGCAUACCAGGCAUAUUAGCAUCUUGGAAGUAUGAUUGAUGUAUUAAUAUUGUAUCUUAUGUAUUCAUUUACCAGACUCAUGGUCAGGUUACUUAUUGAUCAUUGUAUGGAUGAAUCUGCAGUCCAAAGGACAAGAGAAUUCCUGAGCAGGGCAUUACUGGCCUCAAUGUCCUAGCUCAUGCCUUGUCAGAUCACAUUCCUUUCCAAGCCUAUGGGUCUAAACCUAACCGCAAAUUUUGCUAUCAUAUCAGUCCCGUUAUUCCCCUGGGGUAUCUUAUCCUUGCCAAAGGAGUGAGCCUUACAGUGGAUUAUGGCUACUUCUUUUGGCAACUGAACUGCAUCCAAGAGUUGUGAUAUGAGUUCUCCAUAUGCUAUGUUUUUUCCUGCAGAUGUAAUGAAACCUCUGUUCUUCCCGUUCAAAACUGAAAAUGCAUACUGCGAGUCACAAAAAAAAACAACACAUUAAUUCUUUUGUCCUUUCCUAAGGUGAUACUGAAGAUACAAAUGUUGGGGAGACACAAGAUCUGCCUUCAAGGAGUCUAUUAUUAUCUAGCAUUAAAGAAAUGGACAAGCAGCUAUGUCAUAAGAUCCCAUUGAGAAAAUCCGAGAAGAGGUCUAAUGAAGGAAAUGUUUUUCAAAAUGGACCUGGAAAAACAGGCAGAACUUCAAAAGGUAUGCGGCAGAUUCCCCAAUUGAUAAAUGGGCAGGGGACAUGAAUAGGCAAUUUUCAGUUAAAGAAGUCAAAACUAUUAAAAAGCACAUGAAAAAAGUGCUCUAAAUCUCUUAUAACCAGAGAGAUGCAAAUCAAAACAGCUCUGAGGUGUCACAUAGAAUCUAAUUUUAAAAAGUCAUUUUCCUAACCAUGCUUUUAUACAAUAGUCUCUCAAACUUCACAACAAAAGAGAAUUUAGAAAAACAAUAAUAAAACACAUCAGAUCAUCCA